AUGAAAUUCUAUUAUACCAAAGGGACUCGGUAAAGGCGAAGGCAGCCCUCUAUGUAAAAACUGACGUUGAAGGACGAAGGCACAGAGCACAAACAGGAUUAGAUACCCAAGUAGUCUUUGCAGUAAAUGAUGAAUGUCAUAGGUUAGAUUAAGCUUUAAUUAAUUAGUUUAUCAGUAAUGAACUAACUAUUAAACAAUAUUUAGUCUAUAAAUGAAAGUGUAAGCAUUCCACCUCAAGAGUAAUGUGGCAACGCAGGAACUGAAAUCACUAGACCGUUUCUGACACCAGUAGUGAAGUAUGUUGUUUAAUUCGAUGAUCCACGAAAAACCUUACCACAAUUUGAAUAUUUUACAGGAGUUGCACGGCUGUUUUCAGUUAAUGUUGUGAAACUGUGGUUUCCAUGAAAUUAACGCAAUCCCUGGCUUUAUUUUUUUUAUUACGAUAAAGCAUUUGAUCCAGGAUUUGGAAAGAAAAAGGGGACAAAGACAAGUCAUCAUGGCCUUGAUAUUGUGGGCUAUAGACGUGCCACAUAUUCCUACACAAAGAGAUGCAAAAAUGUGAAUUUAAGCUAAUCUCUAAAAAUAGGAUAUAAAUUUUAAGGAUUAUAGUCUGAAACUCGACUAUAUGAAUAAGUAAUUACUAGUAAUCGUGAAUCACCAUGUCACGGUGAAUUUACCUUGGAUUGGUACUAACCACUCGUCACAUGCUGAAAAGAGCAUGCGCAAUAAGUUUGCUUUCUUGAUGAUCAGUAAAAAGAAUAAGCAGGUUCUAUAUUCUAUUAUUAAG
rnacentral:rRNA from 2 species